UUGUAUUUUGGAGCGAGACACUCUAUUUCCCGUUGCUCCAGUCCGCUCAGCUGGCAAAAAUGAGUUGUACCUGUAUUUCAAUGGGCCAGCCUUGCCACACUGUGUCACGCUGAACUUCCUUGAGAAUUACGUUAAGCGUGUGUGUGUUUGUG